ensembl:lncRNA
GGAGGCUAUAUACAGGGGGUACCGGUACAGAGUCAAUGUGGAGGCUAUAUACAGGGGGUACCGGUACAGAGUCAAUGUGGAGGCUAUAUACAGGGGGUACCGGUACAGAGUCAAUGUGGAGGCUAUAUACAGGGAGUACCGGUACAGAGUUAAUGUGGAGGCUAUAUACAGGGAGUACUGGUACAGAGUCAAUGUGGAGGCUAUAUACAGGGGGUACCGGUACAGAGUCAAUGUGGAGGCUAUAUACAGGGGGUACUGGUACAGAGUCAAUGUGGAGGCUAUAUACAGGGGUACUGGUACAGAGUCAAUGUGGAGGCUAUAUACAGGGGGUACUGGUACAGAGUCAAUGUGGAGGCUAUAUACAGGGGGUACCGGUACAGAGUCAAUGUGGAGGCUAUAUACAGGAGGUACCGGUACAGAGUCAAUGUGGAGGCUAUAUACAGGGGUACCGGUACAGAGUCAAUGUGGAGGCUAUAUACA